AGAUCACACAGAACAAAGCCAGAACCCAACCAGGGCUAACACUCCAAGUGAACCAGCACUAAGGCUGAAUCAUUUGAAUUAUUGUCCUGAGUUCCUUUGUCCCAAGGAAAAGCAUGGAUCCCAUUGCUGUUUUACAGGGUUGAAUAUUAAAGGAGGAGCUUCAGAAAAUCAAGCCUUAAACGAGAAGUCUGCAAAGUGUGGCUGGAACAAUGAGAUAGCAGAGCUGUAAGACAUAGCAGCCCAGAUCCCUGAGUCACUAUAGGAGAGCUCCAAGGAGAAGUGACUCACUGACACACUCAGCAAAUAUACUCCGUGUCCAUUGAGCAAAAUGCACUUCCUAUGUAAGCUAAAGAGAGAAACCCAUAGAUGAUGAAACAGAAUUGGAGAAGAUUGGUCAGAUCACCCGACUUUGCCUUCUGAUGCACCAAGGGAUGCCACCCAGACAAGUAAUCUGGCUCAACCAGUUCUGCAAUCCCACCCAGAAACAGAAGAUAGCAAGAAAACCCACUUCAACCCGCUGAUUUCAUCCUGACCCAGCCACUCAGUACUCCCCACUUCCCGAUCCCCUACCCACCAAAUUAUCCUUAAAAACCCUGAUCCUCAAAUUUUCAGGGAGACUGAUUUGAGUAAUAACAAAACUCCAGUCUCCCAUACAGCUGGAUCUGUGAGAAUUAAAUUCUUUAUUGCAAUUCCCCCAUCUUGGUAAAUCGGCUCUGUCUAGUCAGCAGGCAAGAACCCAUUAGCCGGUUACACUAAGCUCCUAUCUCCAGUCAUGAAAUAGGCUGGAGAGAACAAGCGUUAGGAAGGGGAAGAGAUUUCUUUGGAAAUGUUUUUCAAGAACCUUUUCUAGCCAGCUUCCACGGAAGUGUACUGUAUCCCUUGAAUUUGGAAGACACAGCCGACUGCUGACUCAGGGCUGGGAAAGUGACUACAGGUGAGAGACAGGGCUGAACGGUCCAUGGCAAUGAGCCAAGGCUGAGUUUCAGAGUAACUGUGCCCUCAUCUGUGACUGUUCAAAGAUACAUGGUUCCCGGCUACCAGAUAGGAAUCUGGGGUGGGAAUACCACCGAGUUGAUUUCAAAGGGAUCCUGGUCAAGACAGUGAAGCAACCUCAGCCAAAGCAAUUUGGAUGGUCCCAUGAGAUACAGAAAGUGAGGGAGGAUGUGAGCAGUCCACUAGAGGGACUGUUAUACCAGAGCACUGAUAAGAGGCCCAUGAGCGCAGGAGUCAGCUCCGAAAGAUCCACAAUUCAGGGAACCCUCUUGCCAGAUUGUCAGAGGCAUGCGUCUCUCCCCUACUCCCCGUUUUAACCCCGGAAGAGUCAGAGCAGCCUAGAGCUGAGACCAAUGCUUAAGAGAGAGGUCCGCCCUGCCUCUCUUACCACUGCCAGUUUACAGGUUUACAGAGGAAAGGUGAAGCCCAACUCUUUCCUGCACAAGAGUUGUUAAAAGUAAUAUAUUUCAGUACAGUAGAAAGCAUAAGAAACACUUUCUGUGGCAGUCAGCUAGACGGUGCCCAGGUUCUUAAAAAAACCUUUUCCAAAGAAAUCACUUCUACUUCCUUCACUUCUAGAAAAAAAAAGUCAUUUCUCCUUCCUAACUUGGCCUCUCCAACAUAUUUAAUGACUGGGGCUUAGCCACGGCUGGUACAGGCUGGCAGGGGUCUGAAAGCUUUGCCUCCGAAAGUUUUUGAAGUUUGAUUAUCACUGAGCUGGACAUUUUCAAUCUUGAACUGAAACCAUUCUUGAGACUAAAAUAAUCAGAGAGCUUGUUUUGUUUUUAUUAAUCUAAAAGAGAAAGGAAAUAGUAUGGCACCUGAAAUGUGAUUGAAAAAAGAGAAAAAAAUAGCCUUCAAAAUAAUUCUUAAUGGAAGUUGCGGGAGGAAAAAUUUUUAGGAUGUAAAAGCAUAGCCCAAAUCCUGGAUGCUAUGUGACCCCAAGGUAAUACUCUUGAGCUGCUUCUGCCAGAAGGCUGAUUCAUGGCUUCACAGCAAACAGAACCUCCAUCACAUCAGAAAAACAAAUGCAGCUGGAAAAAGAAGACCACAGAGUCAGAGCAUUCAGGCCAGCGAGGCCCAGAGCUGCAGUCUCAGGCCAACGUUUCUUUAAGGAGGCAGCCAGCUUUUGGCAGACAGUACAGAAAAACUCACACUGAUGCAUAGGCUCUUCCUGAGUCUUCGGCCUGCCAGCCUUUGGAUUGGUACCACAACACAGGCUCUCCUGGUUCUCAGGCCUUCAGAUUCAGACUGGAACCACACCAUCAGCUCUCCUGGGUCUCCAGCCUACCAACUCACCCUGCAGAUAUUAAGACUGCCCAGCCUCUAUAAUUGCACGAAUGUAUUUCUUAUAAUAAAUCUCUUUCUACAUAUA